UACGUAGGUGGCAAGCGUUGUCCGGAUUUACUGGGCGUAAAGAGCGCGCAGGCGGUCGUUCAAGUCGCGUGUGAAAGCCCCCGGCUCAACUGGGGAGGGUCACGCGAUACUGAUCGACUCGAAGGCAGGAGAGGGAAGUGGAAUUCCCGGUGUAGUGGUGAAAUGCGUAGAUAUCAGGAGGAACACCGGUGGCGAAGGCGGUUCUCUGGGCCUUACCUGACGCUGAGGAGCGAAAGCGUGGGGAGCGAACAGG
rnacentral:rRNA from 1 species